GAGCCUUCAUGGACUGUAGGACAGAAAAACAGUAAAAGGAAUUCAGGUUAAUUCAACUAUUGCGGGAGAUACUAAGGAUGCAUUUCAUUUUUCAUACUGUGGACUUUGUAUUCUGUACUUGAGGAAGGAAGAGAAAAAGGAGGAACAAAUAAAGGAAGAAAAGAAAGAUGGAAGAAAGGAAAGAAGGAAGCAAAGAAGGAAAGAAGGAAGCAAAGAAGGAAAGAAG
rnacentral:lncRNA from 1 species